GGCCACAGCCAUAUCACCCUGCAGUCCAAGACUGGUUACCCACUGAAGCUAAGCAGGGCUGAGCUUGGUCAGUAUCUGGAUGGGAGACUGCAUGGGAAAGCUAGGUUGCUGUUGGAA
ensembl:rRNA 5S_rRNA 5S ribosomal RNA